ensembl:lncRNA
CUCAAAGUUCUUUUAUUGAAAGUAUAAUGGAAAUUUCUUCAUAUUGCUUUGAUGAAAUGAGAGACAGCAGCUGUAGACAAAUAUGCUUUUUUAUAAACAAAUGCAAAUGGAUAAGGUAAAAAUAAAGCAUUUUUUUUAACUUGUACCUUUAAGCAACAUAAUCACAAUAUAUACACAAAGAAAGCUAAAAUAAAGCUAUGUUGAAACCAAACAGUUUCAAUCAAUACAUUAGAUAAUUACAGAUUGUGUCAAUAAAUACCCAGCUUUUAAACUGUUUAACAGGCAACUUUUUACACAGAUACCGAGAAGAAAAAAAAAUUAUAUAUUUACAAUUCAGUGCCCUGAAAAAAAAAAGAUUAAAAAAAUCUUUUUUUUUUUUUUUUGGCACCAACACAAAUAAAAAGAAUAAAUUAUAGAAAAAAUCCACAAAGGCAGGAGUCUAUCCCUGUCAUUCAUUAAAAAAAACAUGUUGUGUGUAUAUAUAUAAAAUAUAUACAUAUAUAGACAUACAUACUUGUAUAUAUAUGGAUAUAUUAUAUAUAUAUAUAAAAAUACAUAUAUAUGCAGACAACCUAGGAAUGUUAUAAAAUAUAUUAGUGCCAAUAAAUACAGAAUGGUACCAGACUUUCAACUGUCAGUAUUUUUGAUGCAGUCUGAAGGAUAGAAACUACCACCUAGGAGAUAACUGAAGGGGAUUUUUCAGUCUAAAGAAAUGACGACAACAAAAAAUAAUAAUAUAUAUAUAUAUAUCCAGAAAAUCCUCCAUCUGCCAGUAGUAUUCCUACAGUUGCCCUCCUGCCCAGCGGGGAGGCCCCCGGGGGCGAUGCUUUGCAGGAGGAUGUGGCGGCGAGUGUGGGCGAGCACCUGCUCACAGCCGCAGCAGGUCAGCUCCGCUUCCAAGUUGACCGGCUCAAUACCAGAGAAUAUGUAAAAUUAAAUAGUAAUAAUAAUGAUUUUAUAAAACCCAAACAACCCAGCCUUCGUCAUAUUUGUACGCCAGAAGUUUCCUAAACUGCCAGCAGGUUUGCACAAGGCACCUGUCGAAUAGCAGGUACCCAAAAGCACCAUCCCUGUCAUCGGGGAUAUAAAUAGUUCCGCUGAUGGAAAACUGGGGUUUUUCUCCCCCUAUUUGGGUGCCUCUGCACACCCCAGAAGCUCCUCCCAGCACGUCGCUCUAAGGGCAGCGGGGCUGGGAUGCCAGAGCUGCCACCUCCUCCCAGUGCUGGUAAAGCCAGGAAUCACUUGUAUCACCAAAUCUCACAUUUUUGAAAGGGGGAGUUAAAGCUGGUAGGUUUUAAAGCCUUUUUUUUUUUUUUUAAUAAUAACACUGGUGUAGGCACUUAGUGUAUCACUGAUGUACAGAUUUUAUGUCCAAUUACAUCUCAUGGCCAAAUAGUGUCAAGUUCUCAGACUGAUUUAAAUAGCAAAAGGCCAACAGGGCCUCCAAUAUCCUCCUAAACAUGAUUUCUCUUAUUUUAAAACACAAAAGCCUUCAAGUUUUUCAGCUUUGUUUUCAGGCAUUAUUUUUUCUUCCCUCUAAAACUGUACUCAAAGGACAAAUAACCCCAUAAUCUUCAUAUCCAUCUAUUUUACUUGAUUUACCUAUAUAAAAAUAAAUAGUAUAAACAGUCUGACCCA